rnacentral:rRNA from 1 species
ACUCCUACGGGAGGCAGCAGUGGGGAAUAUUGCACAAUGGGCGCAAGCCUGAUGCAGCCAUGCCGCGUGUGUGAAGAAGGCCUUGGGUUGUAAAGCACUUUCAGUCGUGAGGAAGGUAGUGUAGUUAAUAGCUGCAGUAUUUGACGUUAGCGACAGAAGAAGCACCGGCUAACUCCGUGCCAGCAGCCGCGGUAAUACGGAGGGUGCGAGCGUUAAUCGGAAUUACUGGGCGUAAAGCGCAUGCAGGUGGUUGUUAAGUCAGAUGUGAAAGCCCGGGGCUCAACCUCGGAAUAGCAUUUGAAACUGGCAGACUAGAGUACUGUAGAGGGGGUAGAAUUUCAGGUGUAGCGGUGAAAUGCGUAGAGAUCUGAAGGAAUACCGGUGGCGAAGGCGGCCCCUGGACAGAUACUGACACUCAGAUGCGAAAGCGUGGGAGCAAACAGGAUUAGAUACCCCGUGGUAGACUGU